rnacentral:tRNA from 1 species
UACUAUAUGGCUGAAUUGGUAGGUAUUGGUCUCUUAAACCAAAUUAUAGUUUGAUACUUGUAGUAG